AUUGAACGCUGGCGGCAUGCCUUACACAUGCAAGUCGAACGGCAGCACGGGUGCUUGCACCUGGUGGCGAGUGGCGAACGGGUGAGUAAUACAUCGGAACAUGUCCUGUAGUGGGGAUAGCCCGGCGAAAGCCGGAUUAAUACCGCAUACGAUCUACGGAUGAAAGCGGGGGACCUUCGGGCCUCGCGCUAUAGGGUUGGCCGAUGGCUGAUUAGCUAGUUGGUGGGGUAAAGGCCUACCAAGGCGACGAUCAGUAGCUGGUCUGAGAGGACGACCAGCCACACUGGGACUGAGACACGGCCCAGACUCCUACGGGAGGCAGCAGUGGGGAAUUUUGGACAAUGGGCGAAAGCCUGAUCCAGCAAUGCCGCGUGUGUGAAGAAGGCCUUCGGGUUGUAAAGCACUUUUGUCCGGAAAGAAAUCCUUGGCCCUAAUACGGUCGGGGGGAUGACGGUACCGGAAGAAUAAGCACCGGCUAACUACGUG
rnacentral:rRNA from 1 species